CAGCCGCCGCGGGAAUACGAAGGGUGCAAGCGUUAAUCGGAAUUACUGGGCGUAAAGGGAGCGUAGGCGGCGUGGUAAGUCAGAUGUGAAAUCCCGGGGCUCAACCCCGGAACUGCAUCCGAUACUGCCAUGCUAGAGGAUUGGAGAGGUAGCUGGAAUUCUUGGUGUAGCAGUGAAAUGCGUGGAGAUCAAGAGGAACACUCGUGGCGAAAGCGAGCUACUGGACAAUAACUGACGCUGAGGCUCGAAGGCCAGGGUAGCGAAAGGGAUUAGAUACCCGCGUAGUCCCUGUCUCUUAUAC
rnacentral:rRNA from 1 species